CCGAUAACUCUGGAAUAGCCUUUCGAAAGAAAGAUUAAUACCGGAUGGCAUACGAAUAUCGCAUGAUAUUUUUAUUAAAGAAUUUCGGUUAUCGAUGGGGAUGCGUUCCAUUAGUUUGUUGGCGGGGUAACGGCCCACCAAGACUACGAUGGAUAGGGGUUCUGAGAGGAAGGUCCCCCACAUUGGAACUGAGACACGGUCCAAACUCCUACGGGAGGCAGCAGUGAGGAAUAUUGGUCAAUGGGCGAGAGCCUGAACCAGCCAAGUAGCGUGAAGGAUGAAGGCUCUAUGGGUUGUAAACUUCUUUUAUAUGGGAAUAAAGUUUUCCACGUGUGGAAUUUUGUAUGUACCAUAUGAAUAAGGAUCGGCUAACUCCGUGCCAGCAGCCGCGGUAAUACGGAGGAUCCGAGCGUUAUCCGGAUUUAUUGGGUUUAAAGGGAGCGUAGGUGGAUUGUUAAGUCAGUUGUGAAAGUUUGCGGCUCAACCGUAAAAUUGCAGUUGAAACUGGCAGUCUUGAGUACAGUAGAGGUGGGCGGAAUUCGUGGUGUAGCGGUGAAAUGCUUAGAUAUCACGAAGAACUCCGAUUGCGAAGGCAGCUCACUAGACUGUUACUGACACUGAUGCUCGAAAGUGUGGGUAUCAAACAGGAUUAGAUACCCUGGUAGUCCACACAGUAAA
rnacentral:rRNA from 1 species